rnacentral:rRNA from 1 species
GACGAACGCUGGCGGCGUGCUUAACACAUGCAAGUCGAACGGAAAGGCCCUGCUUGUGUGGGGUGCUCGAGUGGCGAACGGGUGAGUAACACGUGAGUAACCUGCCCUUGACUUUGGGAUAACUUCAGGAAACUGGGGCUAAUACCGGAUAGGAGCUCCUGCUGCAUGGUGGGGGUUGGAAAGUUUCGGCGGUUGGGGAUGGACGCGCGGCUUAUCAGCUUGUUGGUGGGGUAGUGGCUUACCAAGGCUUUGACGGGUAGCCGGCCUGAGAGGGUGACCGGCCACAUUGGGACUGAGAUACGGCCCAGACUCCUACGGGAGGCAGCAGUGGGGAAUAUUGCACAAUGGGCGGAAGCCUGAUGCAGCAACGCCGCGGGCGGGAUGACGGCCUUCGGGUUGUAAACCGCUUUCGCCUGUGACGAAGCGUGAGUGACGGUAAUGGGUAAAGAAGCACCGGCUAACUACGUG